rnacentral:rRNA from 1 species
AACACGUGGGCAACCUGCCCGAAGGUGGGGGAUAACCUUCCGAAAGGAAGGCUAAUACCGCAUAAUAUCUCGAGUUCUUCGGGACACGAGAUCAAAGUUGGCCUCUAUUUAUAAGCCAAUGCCAUCGGAGGGGCCCGCGCCCCAUUAGCUUGAUGGUGAGGUAACGGCUCACCAUGGCGACGAUGGGUAGCCGGCCUGAGAGGGCGAUCGGCCACACUGGAACUGAGACACGGUCCAG